rnacentral:rRNA from 1 species
UACGUAGGGUGCAAGCGUUGUCCGGAAUUAUUGGGCGUAAAGAGCUCGUAGGCGGUUUGUCGCGUCGAAUGUGAAAACCCGGGGCUCAACCCCGGGCCUGCAUUCGAUACGGGCAGACUAGAGUUCGGUAGGGGAGUCUGGAAUUCCUGGUGUAGCGGUGAAAUGCGCAGAUAUCAGGAGGAACACCGGUGGCGAAGGCGGUUCUCUGGGCCUGUACUGACGCUGAGGAGCGAAAGCGUGGGGAGCGAACAGG